UACAUGUGGGGCAAGCGUUGUUCGGAAUUACUGGGCAUAAAGGGUGCGUAGGUGGUUUGUUAAGUCAGGGGUGAAAUCCCGCGGCCCAACCGUGGGACUGCCUUUGAUACUGGCGAACUUGAGUGCGUGAGGGGUAGGGGGAACGAGCAGUGUAGCGGUGAAAUGCGUAGAUAUUGCUCGGAAGGCCAGAGCCGAAGGGGCCCUACUGGUGCGCAACUGACACUGAGGCACGAAAGCGUGGGGAGCAAACAGG
rnacentral:rRNA from 1 species